rnacentral:rRNA from 1 species
UUUCAUUGAAUUUUAUUUUUAAGUUAAAAAGCUUAAAUUCAAUAAAAAGACGAGAAGACCCUAUAGAGUUUAAUAAAUGUAGGUUUUGGUUGUUUGAGGUUUUUAUAACAAUUAUUAUUUAGUUUAUUUGGUUGGGGUGACAUAAGAAUUUGAUUAACUUCUUUUUGGUUAUACAUUGAUUUAUGAAUAGUUGAUCCUAUAGUUUGGAUUAUAAGAAUAAAUUACCUUAGGGAUAACAGCGUAAUCUUUUUGGAGAGCUCAAAUCAAUAAAAGGGAUUGCGACCUCGAUGUUGGAUUAAAGUUAAGUUUAGGUGCAGAAGCUUGAAUUUUG